ACUAUUUAUUUAAUAAAAUUAGCUUAAUAUUUUACUAUUUCUUUGCAUUUUUCGUAGUAUUAUUACUAUUAUUUUUAUGUAUUUCAGGAAUGUCCGAAAGCUACCAAAUAAUUUAUAAGUUACAAAAUAAAUGCUAAUAAAGAAUUGAAUCGGAUCAGGAAGCAAAAAAGGAGGUGAAUGCCAAAACAAACAAGUGCCAAUUGGGCCACAAAAGCCACAAUAUAGCAGCC
rnacentral:lncRNA from 1 species